UACGGAGGAGGCAAGCGUUAUCCGGAAUUAUUGGGCGUAAAGCGUCCGCAGGUGGCUAUUCAAGUCUGCGGUCAAAGACUGGGGCUUAACCCUGGAAAGGCCGUGGAAACUGAAGAGCUAGAGUGCAGUAGGGGUAGAGGGAAUUCCCGGUGUAGCGGUGAAAUGCGUAGAGCUCGGGAAGAACGUCGGUGGCGAAAGCGCUCUGCUGGACUGCAACUGACACUCAGGGACGAAAGCUAGGGGAGCGAAUGGG
rnacentral:rRNA from 1 species